UCGGGAAUUUUGGGCAAUGGGCGAAAGCCUGACCCAGCAACGCCGCGUGAGGGAUGAAGUAUUUCGGUAUGUAAACCUCGAAAGAAUGGGAAGAAUAAAUGACGGUACCAUUUAUAAGCUCCGGCUAACUACGUGCCAGCAGCCGCGGUAAUACGUGGGGAGCAAGCGUUGUUCGGAUUUACUGGGCGUAAAGGGCGCGUAGGCGGCGCGGUAAGUCACUUGUGAAAUCUCUGAGCUUAACUCAGAACGGCCAAGUGAUACUGCUGGGCUAGAGUGCGGAAGAGGCAACCGGAAUGCUUGGUGUAGCGGUGAAAUGCGUAGAUAUCAAGAGGAACACCUGAGGCGAAGGCGGGUUGCUGGGCCGACACUGACGCUGAUGCGCGAAAGCCAGGGGAGCAAACG
rnacentral:rRNA from 1 species